GAUUUCGGAUGAGGAUCAGAUUCCCCAUAUUCUUGGAGGUCUAGGCCCAGACUAAAAUCCCAUAAUGGUGUCAAUCUUCUCCAGGAUAGAGCCGUGGACUGUUCAAGAAGUGUGCGCUCUCUUGCACAGUUUUGAAU